CCCUUAGAUGUUCUGGGCCGCACGCGCGCUACACUGAUGCAUUCAACGAGCCUAACCUUGACCGAGAGGUCCGGGUAAUCUUUGAAACUGCAUCGUGAUGGGGCUAGAUUAUUGCAAUUAUUAAUCUUCAACGAGGAAUGCCUAGUAAGCGUGAUUCAUCAAAUCGCGUUGAUUACGUCCCUGCCCUUUGUACACACCGCCCGUCGCUCCUACCGAUUGAGUGUGUUGGUGAGGAGUUCGGAUUGGCUCUUAGUGGUGGUUCGCCACCACCUAGAGCUGAGAAGUUCUCCAAACCGCCCCACUUAGAGGAAGGAGAANUCGUAACA
rnacentral:rRNA from 1 species